rnacentral:rRNA from 1 species
GUGGAAUGCGGGUCCAGCAGCGGUUGUAAUAUGGAGGUGCCGAGCGUUAUCCGGAAUGAUUGGGUGUAAAGGGUUCGUAGGCGGCUUGUUAAGUCAGUGGUGAAAUUUCCUAGCGUAACUAGGACACUGCCAUUGAUACUGCAGAGCUUGAAUAAUAUGGAAGUAACUAGAAUAUGUAGUGUAGCGGUGAAAUGCUUAGAUAUUACAUGGAAUACCAAUUGCGAAGGCAGGUUACUACGUAUUUAUUGACGCUGAUGAACGAAAGCGUGGGGAGCGAACAGGAUUAGAUACCCCGGAGUC